CUUUUAUUCAUUUCUUCAUUCUCUCAUUUAUUCCUUCUGGUACUGUGGGUUCAGCAGUGAAUGAAACCAAGCCCUUGCCUUUGUGGAACUCAUCUUCUAGUAGAGAAGACUGACAGUGGAUUUUGGUUUGAGAGGAAGAGAGCGCAUGCGCGCGCCCAGACACACGCAGGAGUCCGGUGAGAGCUAGAGGGAAAAGCAGAUUCUUUUCGGAGCAGAAAGCCCCUGAUGGGACUGGAUUCCAGGCCCCUGGGAUCAAGACCUGAGCUGAAGACAGACGCCUAGUGACUGAGUCACCCAGGUGCCCCCCGGGCCACAGCUUUGAGAGCAAUGCGCUGUUGAGGACAUCAGGACCACGUCUGUGACUGAACCAAGAGAGCACAUAAGCGGGCCAACUGGCAGGCAGAGGGAGAAGCUCAGUCCCAGGACCUCAAGAUCAUGACCUGAGCCAAAGGCAGAUCUUUGACCGACUGGGCCACCCAGGUCCAGUGUUCCAGACACGGAGCUUUUGCUGGCCUUGGUUUUCAGGUGCUCAGGGCAGUGGCAGCCAUCUUGUGUCCUGUUCACCUUGAGGCCUACCUUCUCUGCUUCCUCCUUUGGGCUCCAUCUGUUUCUGACUCUGCUUGACUCUUCCUUUUCUCCUCAGGUAAUUUUCCUUUUAUGCCAUAACGUGGGCUGUGAAACUCUUGUUUAAUAAUUGUUGUGCUUUUAUGAGAACCGUAUGUCCUUCCAAGUCUGUUGUGCUACACUCAUGACAGAAUCUGCUUGGGUCUUCUGGAAUCUGUUCAAAGUCGCACAUAAUUCUUCAGUUCUCUCAUUUGAUAGAUCACUGUUUCAUAGGCAGUACUUGAGAACAAGGCUAAUAAUUGUAUUUACAAUA